AUCCUAGAGUGAGAAAGCAAGUAGCAUUGUGAUAGAGUAGCUGGAUAGGGAGCAGUUCCUGGAAUCUGAAGAAAAGGAGGUGUGGAAAGGGUCAGUUGACAGAAGCUGUGGCCUUCAGGAGACAAGCUUUGAGAUCCUUCUUAGAAAUUCCUAAGGCUCAAUGUUGUGUGGAAGAUUCUGAGAAAGAAAAUAGUUUCCGAUCUUUGGGAUUCCCCUGAGAUGGUCCAAUCUGCAAAAAGUUCAUUGCCAUUUCCAUCAAGGACACUGAGAACAAGAGUCUUAUCCGCAUUGAAUCCUGGGAAUUGAGAAGCUUCAGCAGGGCUUCCGCUGGAACUAGGAUGAGGAUGUGGACACCCCCAACCUGGACCAUCUGGCCGAGGAGGGCGUCAAGGCCAAGUACCUCAUGCCACCCCUUGUCACAAUGACCUCCCCGUCCCACUUCACUGCCAUCACAGAAUCCCAGUGGCCACUAAAACAGAGGGAUUCCAACCUAAAAAGGAGGAAAAGGAGGCUGCUGAAAAGCAAAGGACUCUGUGUAAGAAUCAUAAUAGCGGAGGUGGAGCCAAGAUGGCAGAAUAGGAACAGCUCCAGUCUACAGUUCCCGGAGUGAGCGACGCAGAAGACAGGUGAUUUCUGCAUUUCCAACUGAGGUACUGGGUUCAUCUCACUGGGGAGUGUCAGAAAGUGGGUGCAGGACACCUGGUGCAGUGCAGUGAGCAUGAGUCCAAGCAGGGCGAGGCAUUGCCUCACCGAGGAAGUGCAAGGGGUCAGAGAAUUCCCUUUCCAGGUCAAAGAAAUGGGUCACAGACGGCACCUGGAAAAUCGGGUCACUUCCACCCUAAUACUGCACUUUUCCAAUGGUCUUAGCAAAUGGCACACCAGGAGAUUAUAUCCCAUGCCUGGCUCAGAGGGCCCUACACCCAUGGAGCCUCACUCAUUGCUAGCACAGCAGUCUGAGAUCAAACUGCAAGGUGACAGCAAGGCUGGGGGAGGGGCGCCUGCCAUUGCCUAGGCUUCAGUAGGUAAACAAAGCAGCUGGGAAGCUCCAACUGGGUGGAGCCCAACACAGCUCAAGGAGGCCUGCCUGCAUCUGUAGACUGCACCUCUAAGGGCAGGGCACUGGCAAACAAAAGACAGCAGAAUCCUCUGCAGACUUAAAUAUCCCUGUCUGACAGCUUUGAAGAGAGUAGUGGUUCUCCCAGCACACAGCUGGAGAUCUGAGAAUGGACAGACUGCCUCCUCAAGUGGGUCCCUGACCCCCGAGUAGCCUAACUGGGAGGCACCCCACAGUAGGGGCAGACUGACACCUCACAUGGCCGGGUACUCCUCUGAGACAAAACUUGCAGAGGAACAAUCAGGCAGCAACAUUUCCUGCUCACCAAUAUCUGCUGUUCUGCAGCCUCCACUGCUGAUACCCAGGCAAACUCCAACAGACAUGCAGCUGAGGGUCCUGACUCUCAGAAGGAAAACUAACAAACAGAAAGGACUUCCACACUAAAACCCCAUCUGUACGUCACCAUCAUCAAAGAC
rnacentral:lncRNA from 10 species